AACCCCUUGAGAGUGGCGAACGGGUGAGUAAUAUAUCGGAACGUGCCCAGUCGUGGGGGAUAACGUAGUGAAAAUUACGCUAAUACCGCAUACGAUCUAAGGAUGAAAGCGGGGGACUCGCAAGAGCCUCGCGCGAUUGGAGCGGCCGAUAUCAGAUUAGGUAGCUGGCGAGGUAAAGGCUCACCAAGCCAACGAUCUGUAGCUGGUCUGAGAGGACGACCAGCCACACUGGAACUGAGACACGGUCCAGACUCCUACGGGAGGCAGCAGUGGGGAAUUUUGGACAAUGGACGAAAGUCUGAUCCAGCCAUUCCGCGUGCAGGACGAAGGCCUUCGGGUUGUAAACUGCUUUUGUACAGAACGAAAAGGUUUCUCUUAAUACGAGGGGCUCAUGACGGUACUGUAAGAAUAAGCACCGGCUAACUACGUGCCAGCAGCCGCGGUAAUACGUAGGGUGCGAGCGUUAAUCGGAAUUACUGGGCGUAAAGCGUGCGCAGGCGGUUAUAUAAGACAGAUGUGAAAUCCCCGGGCUCAACCUGGGAACUGCAUUUGUGACUGUAUAGCUGGAGUGCGGCAGAGGGGGAUGGAAUUCCGCGUGUAGCAGUGAAAUGCGUAGAUAUGCGGAGGAACACCGAUGGCGAAGGCAAUCCCCUGGGCCUGCACUGACGCUCAUGCACGAAAGCGUGGGGAGCAAACAGGA
rnacentral:rRNA from 1 species